AGUGAACGCUGGCGGCAGGCCUAAUACAUGCAAGUCGAACGGACGCACAGUAAGAGUUCGCCCCUACGGGUGGCGAGUGGCGGAUGGGUGAGGCGUACAUAGGCAUCCACUUUUUCGUGGGGGACUACGUAGGGCAACAUAUGAUACUACAGCAUAUGUUCUACGGGAGAAAGCAGGGGAUCUUCGCACUUUGCGUGAUUCUUUGAGACGAUGCCGGAUUAGCUAGUUGGCGAGGUAAAGGCACACCAAGGCGACGAUACGUAGCUGAUCUGAGAGGAUGAUCAGCCACACUGGAACUGAGACACGGUCCAGACUCCUACGGGAGGCAGCAGUAGGGAAUAUUCGACAAUGGGCGCAAGCCUGAUCCAGCCAUACCGCGUGGGUGAAGAAGGCCUUCGGAUUGUAAAGCCCUUUUAUUGGGAAAGAAAAGCAGCAUAUUAAUACCCCGCUGUUCUGACGGUACCCAAAGAAUAAGCACCGGCUAACUUCGUG
rnacentral:rRNA from 1 species